rnacentral:pre_miRNA from 1 species
AACAUUGCACCAAUAGCAGCUGUAACAUUGCACCAAUAGCAGCUGUCUGCUAUUGGUGCAAUGUUACAGUUGCUAUUGGUGCAAUGUUGCAGCUAUUA